rnacentral:SRP_RNA from 1 species
AGCCGGAAUGAGUGGAAAUUGAAGGCUUGCGAACCCCGCCAGGGCCGAAAGGCAGCAACGGUACCAUGACCUUGUUUGCCACUCAUUCCGGUUUUU